GAUGAAGAACGCAGCGAAAUGCGAUAAGUAAUGCGAAUUGCAGAAUUCAGUGAGUCAUCGAAUCUUUGAACGCACAUUGCGCCCUGUGGUAUUCCGCAGGGCAUGCCUGUUCGAGCGUCAUUUCAACCCUCAAGCCUCGCUUGGUGUUGGGCCCUGCCCGCCGCGGCCGGCCCUAAAGAUAGUGGCGGCGCCGCCUGGCCCUCAGCGUAGUACAGCUCUCGCUCCAGGGUCCGGCGGCAGCCUGCCAGAACCCCCCAACUCUGUGGUUGACCUCGGAUCAGGUAGGGAUACCCGCUGAACUUAAGCAUAUCAAUAAGCGGAGGA
rnacentral:misc_RNA from 1 species